rnacentral:rRNA from 1 species
CAGGAUGAACGCUGGCGGCGUGCCUAAUACAUGCAAGUCGAGCGAACGGACGAGAAGCUUGCUUCUCUGAUGUUAGCGGCGGACGGGUGAGUAACACGUGGAUAACCUACCUAUAAGACUGGGAUAACUUCGGGAAACCGGAGCUAAUACCGGAUAAUAUUUUGAACCGCAUGGUUCAAAAGUGAAAGACGGUCUUGCUGUCACUUAUAGAUGGAUCCGCGCUGCAUUAGCUAGUUGGUAAGGUAACGGCUUACCAAGGCAACGAUGCAUAGCCGACCUGAGAGGGUGAUCGGCCACACUGGAACUGAGACACGGUCCAGACUCCUACGGGAGGCAGCAGUAGGGAAUCUUCCGCAAUGGGCGAAAGCCUGACGGAGCAACGCCGCGUGAGUGAUGAAGGUCUUCGGAUCGUAAAACUCUGUUAUUAGGGAAGAACAUAUGUGUAAGUAACUGUGCACAUCUUGA